AACAAGGGAGAGGCCAGCGCAGAUGAAGAAGCAGGAUGUGCUAGGCAGCUUCUAGGGCGGCUCCCAGGACCCCUGCCUUCUGGGAUCCAUACUUUUGUGUAAUCUCUUGCCCUUGGUUGUUGGCUGGAUCUAGUGAUUUUCUUCCAAUAAAUAUAACACAGCAAAAACAGUGGGGUGUCCUUUCCAGGAGUAGGUUACCAGGAGACUCUGGCUUCUGCCUUGUGUGCCUCCUCUCGUUGUCUCACUUGCCUGCUCUGAUGGAAACCACCUGUCAUGUUGUGAGCUGCCUUAUGGAGAGGCCGCACAACAUGGAAGUGAAGGAGGCCUGUGGCCGACAGCCAGGGAGCAGCCGGAGCCCUCAGUCCAACAGCCUGCAAGGAACAGAGCCCUGCCAACAACCAGAUGGAUUCCAUUUAAACUGAUCCCAGACUGUAUCCUUCUUUAGAGGCACCUUGAAUGAUAUCAAAAUGGCCCCGGCUCUGUCCAUUACCAGGAAGAGGACAUUGGCUACAGCUCAUCCCUUUACAGAAGGAGGCUGGAGGCAUAAAGAAGAUAAGCGUCUGUCCAAGGUCACCGAGCAAGUUAGGGGCACACGGGAAGAGGAUUAGACCCCCUG
rnacentral:lncRNA from 1 species